rnacentral:lncRNA from 1 species
CUAAACAAAGUAGAAAUCGAACGCGCACCCGAUUUCUUAGCAAGAAAAAAGGGCAAGGUGGUAUGUAUGCGUUGC